rnacentral:rRNA from 1 species
CCUACGGGUGGCAGCAGUGAGGAAUAUUGGUCAAUGGGCGCGAGCCUGAACCAGCCAAGUCGCGUGAGGGAAGACGGUCCUAUGGAUUGUAAACCUCUUUUGUCGGGGAGCAAAAGACGCCACGCGUGGCGUUCCGAGAGUACCCGAAGAAAAAGCAUCGGCUAACUCCGUGCCAGCAGCCGCGGUAAUACGGAGGAUGCGAGCGUUAUCCGGAUUUAUUGGGUUUAAAGGGUGCGCAGGCGGAAGAUCAAGUCAGCGGUAAAAUUGAGAGGCUCAACCUCUUCGAGCCGUUGAAACUGGUUGUCUUGAGUGAGUGAGAAGUAUGCGGAAGGCGUGGUGUAGCGGUGAAAUGCAGAGAUAUCACGCAGAACUCCGAUUGCGAAGGCAGCAUACCGGCGCUCAACUGACGCUCAUGCACGAAAGUGUGGGUAUCGAACAGGAUUAGAUACCCCAGUAGUC